rnacentral:rRNA from 1 species
UACAGAGGUCUCAAGCGUUGUUCGGAUUCAUUGGGCGUAAAGGGUGCGUAGGCGGCGCGGUAAGUCGGGUGUGAAAUCUCGGGGCUUAACUCCGAAACUGCAUUCGAUACUGCCGUGCUUGAGGACUGGAGAGGAGACUGGAAUUUACGGUGUAGCGGUGAAAUGCGUAGAUAUCGUAAGGAAGACCAGUGGCGAAGGCGGAUCUCUGGACAGUUCCUGACGCUGAGGCACGAAGGCCAGGGGAGCAAACGGG